rnacentral:tRNA from 1 species
GCACCAGUAGUCUAGGGGUAUGAUUAGAGCUUCCCAAGCUUUCGGCCCGGGUUCAAAUCCCGGCUGGUGCA